GAGCCCGUGGUUUAGUGGUAUAACAUUUCCUUGACGUGGAAAGGGUCGUCAGUUCGAAUCUGGCCGGGCUCA
rnacentral:tRNA from 1 species